CGACUUAUAUUCUGUAGCAAGGUUAACCGUAUAGGGGAGCCGGAGGGAAACCGAGUCUUAAUUGGGCGUUAAGUUGCAGGGUAUAGACCCGAAACCCGGUGAUCUAGCCAUGGGCAGGUUGAAGGUUGGGUAACACUAACUGGAGGACCGAACCGACUAAUGUUGAAAAAUUAGCGGAUGACCUGUGGCUGGGGGUGAAAGGCCAAUCAAACCGGGAGAUAGCUGGUUCUCCCCGAAAGCUAUUUAGGUAGCGCCUCGUGAAUUCAUCUCCGGGGGUAGAGCACUGUUUCGGCUAGGGGGCCAUCCCGGCUUACCAACCCGAUGCAAACUGCGAAUACCGGAGAAUGUUAUCACGGGAGACACACGGCGGGUGCUAACGUCCGUCGUGAAGAGGGAAACAACCCAGACCGCCAGCUAAGGUCCCAAAGUCAUGGUUAAGUGGGAAACGAUGUGGGAAGGCCCAGACAGCCAGGAUGUUGGCUUAGAAGCAGCCAUCAUUUAAAGAAAGCGUAAUAGCUCACUGGUCGAGUCGGCCUGCGCGGAAGAUGUAACGGGGCUAAACCAUGCACCGAAGCUGCGGCAGCGANNNNNUGCUGGAGGUAUCAGAAGUGCGAAUGCUGACAUAAGUAACGAUAAAGCGGGUGAAAAGCCCGCUCGCCGGAAGACCAAGGGUUCCUGUCCAACGUUAAUCGGGGCAGGGUGAGUCGACCCCUAAGGCGAGGCCGAAAGGCGUAGUCGAUGGGAAACGGGUUAAUAUUCCCGUACUUGGUGUUACUGCGAAGGGGGGACGGAGAAGGCUAUGUUGGCCGGGCGACGGUUGUCCCGGUUUAAGCGUGUAGGUGUGUGUUCCAGGUAAAUCCGGUUCACUUUAACACUGAGGCGUGACGACGAGGCACUACGGUGCUGAAGCAACAAAUGCCCUGCUUCCAGGAAAAGCCUCUAAGCAUCAGGUAACAUCAAAUCGUACCCCAAACCGACACAGGUGGUCAGGUAGAGAAUACCAAGGCGCUUGAGAGAACUCGGGUGAAGGAACUAGGCAAAAUGGUGCCGUAACUUCGGGAGAAGGCACGCUGACACGUAGGUGAAGUGAUUUACUCAUGGAGCUGAAGUCAGUCGAAGAUACCAGCUGGCUGCAACUGUUUAUUAAAAACACAGCACUGUGCAAACACGAAAGUGGACGUAUACGGUGUGACGCCUGCCCGGUGCCGGAAGGUUAAUUGAUGGGGUCAGCGCAAGCGAAGCUCCUGAUCGAAGCCCCGGUAAACGGCGGCCGUAACUAUAACGGUCCUAAGGUAGCGAAAUUCCUUGUCGGGUAAGUUCCGACCUGCACGAAUGGCGUAAUGAUGGCCAGGCUGUCUCCACCCGAGACUCAGUGAAAUUGAACUCGCUGUGAAGAUGCAGUGUACCCGCGGCAAGACGGAAAGACCCCGUGAACCUUUACUAUAGCUUGACACUGAACAUUGAGCCUUGAUGUGUAGGAUAGGUGGGAGGCUUUGAAGUGUGGACGCCAGUCUGCAUGGAGCCGACCUUGAAAUACCACCCUUUAAUGUUUGAUGUUCUAACGUGGACCCGUAAUCCGGGUUGCGGACAGUGUCUGGUGGGUAGUUUGACUGGGGCGGUCUCCUCCUAAAGAGUAACGGAGGAGCACGAAGGUUGGCUAAUCCUGGUCGGACAUCAGGAGGUUAGUGCAAUGGCAUAAGCCAGCUUGACUGCGAGCGUGACGGCGCGAGCAGGUGCGAAAGCAGGUCAUAGUGAUCCGGUGGUUCUGAAUGGAAGGGCCAUCGCUCAACGGAUAAAAGGUACUCCGGGGAUAACAGGCUGAUACCGCCCAAGAGUUCAUAUCGACGGCGGUGUUUGGCACCUCGAUGUCGGCUCAUCACAUCCUGGGGCUGAAGUAGGUCCCAAGGGUAUGGCUGUUCGCCAUUUAAAGUGGUACGCGAGCUGGGUUUAGAACGUCGUGAGACAGUUCGGUCCCUAUCUGCCGUGGGCGCUGGAGAACUGAGGGGGGCUGCUCCUAGUACGAGAGGACCGGAGUGGACGCAUCACUGGUGUUCGGGUUGUCAUGCCAAUGGCACUGCCCGGUAGCUAAAUGCGGAAGAGAUAAGUGCUGAAAGCAUCUAAGCACGAAACUUGCCCCGAGAUGAGUUCUCCCUGAGACUU
rnacentral:rRNA from 1 species